GAUGAACGCUGGCGGCGUGCCUAAUACAUGCAAGUCGAGCGAACAGACGAGGAGCUUGCUCCUCUGACGUUAGCGGCGGACGGGUGAGUAACACGUGGAUAACCUACCUAUAAGACUGGGAUAACUUCGGGAAACCGGAGCUAAUACCGGAUAAUAUAUUGAACCGCAUGGUUCAAUAGUGAAAGACGGUUUUGCUGUCACUUAUAGAUGGAUCCGCGCCGCAUUAGCUAGUUGGUAAGGUAACGGCUUACCAAGGCAACGAUGCGUAGCCGACCUGAGAGGGUGAUCGGCCACACUGGAACUGAGACACGGUCCAGACUCCUACGGGAGGCAGCAGUAGGGAAUCUUCCGCAAUGGGCGAAAGCCUGACGGAGCAACGCCGCGUGAGUGAUGAAGGUCUUCGGAUCGUAAAACUCUGUUAUUAGGGAAGAACAAAUGUGUAGGUAACUAUGCACGUCUUGACGGUACCUAAUCAGAAAGCCACGGCUAACUACGUG
rnacentral:rRNA from 1 species